UAUUCCUCCCUCAGUGGAGUCAGUUGGUCUACCUCUGAACUGCUCUGAAAGAGUUGUUUAGAUCCUUUUUUCAAAUCACGGGUUGAGAAACUUCAGGUUUCUGAAGCAUCCUAUUUCAGAAAUCCUUUUUUUUUUUAUUUUGAGGUGUGUGCGCACACUUGUGUGCACACACGUGCAUGCGUGCACUUUAAAUUAAUUGUCCUUAAUUCAGUGCUAGAUGGCUUGAUUUGGUGUGAACGAUGUUAGACGUGAAUACAAGGAUUAAUUUUUAGCGGUAUGGUGGCUGGUGCAAUUAUACUGUUCAUUAUUGCCUACUUUCUUGUCUUGACCGCCAUCAAGGAUGUCAAAUUCGCAAAUUAUGGAGAUGUCGAAAGCUGCAUUAAUUCAUGGAAAUUCACUAAAGAGAUCAUCCGGGCCAAACCCAUUACUGCCAAGUCUUGUAUUCUCGAUACUGUGAUGAGUAUGCCAUCUCCAUCUAUACAAAUUCUGGCAUCCUGCAACCUUGUUUUUGUGGCACCAACAAAGGACUCUGACAUGACUGAUCAGAGUCCAAAAUAUUCAAAAUCAGCAUUUCUUUGUUAGUAGAAAAUUUAAUUUUCAAAUUAAGUUCUGUUAUGUUUAUACCAUUAUUUACUCUCUAAUAUGGUUUUAUGUUCUUUGUA